UGAACACAAAUGCUGUCCACGUGGCAACUUGUUGUUGGUGCAAUUGUUUUUCUCGAAACCUUUUGAAAAUUUGCCCAAAACAUUAUGAAAAUUUGCCCAAUAAAUUUAAAAUUCCCGCCCAACAAAAUUUCAAAAUUUUUAAUUUUUUGAAAAAAAAUAAAAAAAAAAUUUCUCAUUCAUCUUCUUCUUUUCUCUCAUUCACAUCUCUCUCUCAUUCAUCUUCUUCCUUCUUCUCUCGAGAAUUCAUCCCUCUUUUUCAAUCUCUCUUUCUCAGUCUCACUCUUCACUUAUGGUGCGAUACUACCUAGGGGAGGAUACAUACUAUAUACACAUGCAUGUGUGUUGUGUUGCUUUAUAGGAUAAUGGUUUCCACAUGCGCAAAUAUUGAGUUGAUGCGAUUGAGGAAGAUGUCAAAAGCUUGAGGAAGGACGUUGAAAAGCACACUGCUAGAUUGAGGGAAUUCGGAAACCAUGACUUCCUCAUCUCUCAAUGAAGUUGCAGUUGGAAACCAAUGCUAAAGAGACUGCCAAUCUCUAGGAGCUAGUGUCAAGCCUUAUGGGUCGAAUAGAGACCUUAGAAGAAAUUAGCUUUUGGUUUGUGUAAUGCACCUGCA
rnacentral:lncRNA from 1 species